rfam:Ornithorhynchus anatinus chromosome 2, whole genome shotgun sequence.
CCCCUCCCAGUAUCGCACCUGGAGAGUUUCUAGUACUCUACUAGUCUUUACUAUGGGAGGGAGAGUCAAGCAGAGGCAUACCAUUCCAUUCCUAGCUUGGCCAGUAGCUAGUGAGUGGAAGGCAAUCCGCUACAAGU